rnacentral:lncRNA from 1 species
CUAGAUUGUGUCGGAUUGUUAGGACUAAUCAUUAAUUUUAAAAAUUAGAGUUAUUAGAAAUACACAAUUAAUUCACUUAAAGCGCAUAAACACAGCGUCUAUAGAUCUCGAUUGUUAUUCAAUCCAACUAGCCUCACGUCAUUUUGAAUAUGAUUUGGCGCAUCCUAAUUAACCUCCAGCUAUAGAUAGAGAUGUCAAUGGGUCUGAUUCGGGGCGGAUUUUCAAAAACCCAAAUCUGAUUCCAAAUCCGAGAUCUGAACCCGAACCCGACGGAUUUUAAAAAUUCAUCUCCAAAUCCGAACCCCACCAAAAAUCCGAAACCCGAACCCGAAAAUUUGAACCCGAAACAAUUAUUUUUUUUUCAAUAUUUCAAAAUAUAUUAUAUUAAAUCUAAAAUUUUAAAAUACAAAUUCAAAUAUAACAUCAAAUAUAUAUAUAUAUAUAUAUAUAUAUAUAUAUAUAUAUAUAUAUAUAUAUAUAUAUAUAUAUAUAUAUAUAUAAUACAAAAUAAAUUAGGGUUCGGGUCGGGUACAGUGAAAAUUUAUAUCCGAAUGCUUAUCCGUCAAGUUUCUAUUUUUGAUAUCUAUACCCGAUCGAAUCCAUAUCCAUUUAGCAUCAGAUAUAUCCGUUUCAUUCGGAUUUGGAUUCGGAUUCGGAUAAAUUUUCGAAUAUCCAUACCCAUUGACAUCCCUAGCUAUAGGGCAAGAUGCUAUCCCUUUUAAGCCAACAGAUUGCACUCACGCACCAUCUCUUCGGCAAGAAAUUCUUUAAUGAGGUUUUACCUCCUUAUAAGAUUGUUGUAAGGCUAGUAACUAAACCAAGCUUAGCUCAAAAUUUGAUUAAAAUGAACAUGUCAAGUCUCAAAAUCUUAUCUUGUUCAAUUGUCUAUGAAUUAUAGCGAUUUUUAAUAUAUAUUUUUGUUAUCAGUAUCUAGGUUUUUUUUUUGUCCUUUUUUUUAAAAUUUUGUGAAUCCACUGGUGAAAUAAAAUAAAAUAAAACGUCGGGCCGGGCAACUUUUAGCCACAAGAAUGCAACACGUGUAGCUGCACGUGAUUUGAAACUUCAAGAAAAACAAAAAUAUUAUUUAAAAUCAUUUAUAUAUAUAUAUAGGAAGGUUGAUAUGAAGAAAAAAAAAAACUAUAAUUUCAGAGACAGUGAAGUGACUAGACUUUGAACAAUAUCAGUUUUGCCCCUUAUAAAGAGAAUUCCUGUCCUGAACAUGAGUGAAUCAAAUAAUAUGAAAAAAAUAAAAAGCGAGAGAGAGAGAGAGAGAGAGAGAGAGAGAGAGAGAGAGAGAGAGAGAGAGAGAGAGAGAGAGAGAGAGAGAGAGAGAGAGAGAGAGAGAGAGAGAGAGAGAGAGAGAGAGAGAGAGAGAGAGAGAGAGAGAGAGAGAGAGAGAGAGAGAGAGAGAGAGAGAGAGAGAGAGAGAGAGAGAGAGAGAGAGAGAGAGAGAGAGAGAGAGAGAGAGAGAGAGAGAGAGAGAGAGAGAGAGAGAGAGAGAGAGAGAGAGAGAGAGAGAGAGAGAGAGAGAGAGAGAGAGAGAAGUUAUUGCUUGCAUAUGGGCCAUGGUUGGUCGCAUAUGGAGAUAUAUAUCGACUUUAUAUCAUAAUAGAAAUUAAACAACUCGCGCAUAACUCUCGAUGAGUUGUACUGGUACUCUCUCUCUCUCUCUCUCUCUCUCUCUCUCUCAUUGAUAGAAUUUCAAAGUAUAUAAAAUAAAUAGAGAAAUAAAUACAUAGCAGAACUCAGAAUUAAAAUAAAACAACUCACAGAACGUCAUAAAAAAAAAAAUUUUGAUCAAUCUGCGAAAGUGAAAAGUUCGGCUAUGAUAUGAAAAUUACGAAUCGAAGUUGGGUAAUUUGGUUUCUCCUUCUAUCUCAGGCACUCUAUCGUAUGGUGUGGAACCGAUGGUAAUUCUUCACCAGAAUGCGUAUAAGAAGGUGGCAGGACCAAUAUCCUUUUAUAUAGAGUCUAGAUCGACUUCCCAUCAAAUCUAUCCUUUUGAUCAUUUUGACUCGUUAGAUCAUACUAUUCAACCAACCACCCACUCAAUCCUAGGAAGCCCACAUCAUCCUAACCGCACAUCUCUUAAUUCAAUGACCAAAAACUUGGUGGCACCAAUGACUUGGUGCUAUUAAUAGUAUAUUAGCCUAGUUCUAUAUAUAUAAAAAAUAGAGUAUGGUUACUAUACUCUUUUGAGUAUAGAGUUCUUCGUACUUAUAUAUUAUUUUCGAUGAUUGAGCUUUCGAAUUGACGAUCCACACCAUUAAAUAUAAUCUAAAUUAUUUAAAAGUUUUAGAAAUAAAAUUCGUAAUUUUUUGAAAUUAUAAUAAAGUCCAUCAAGCGAGUAUAAAAUGAACGAUCAAAAUCAAACAACGUCCUAAGAAUCGAACGACAUCCUAAAAAUAGAUAAAUAGAUUCCUUAAUUAAAAAUCAGGAUUAUUGAUCUUUAUCUAAAUACUGAAUAAAAUUUUUUAUCAAAAAUUCAACCGAUUCUGAUUUCUUUACACAAUUAAACUAGCAAGUAUUCCAUACCGGUUGUUAGAAUUAAUUUGUCGAUUUUGAGAUCUUUUGAUCGUAAGGUAAAUGAUAUUAAAAAAAUUAUGAAAUUUGAUUUCUAUAAAUUUUAAAUACUCAAAAUAAUAUUUAAUGGUAUGAAUCGUCGAUUCAAAAACUUUAUCAUUGAAAAUAACUUAUGAGUACGAAGACGAUUGUAUUUAUAAGAGUAUAGUAAUCGAAUUCAUAUAUAUAUAUGUAUGUAUAUAUAUAUAUGUAUGUAUAUAUAUAUAUGUAUGUAUGUAUAUAUAUAUAUGUAUGUAUGUAUAUAUAUAUAUAUAUUGUAUAUAUAAUAAAAUAUAUAUGUAUAUCUAUAUUACGUACGAUACUAUAUAUAUUAUACCUGUAUAUGUAUGUAAUAUAUAGUGAUAUAGGUAUAGUAGUAAUAUAUAUUGUAUAUAUACUAUGCUAAUUUAAUAUUACCGAUAUAUAAUUAUAUAUAUAAUAUAUCAUAAUAUAUAAAUUAUAUUGUAUUCAGUAUAUAUAUAUUCAUAUAUAUAUAAUAUAUUGUAAUGUAUGUAUAUAAUAUACUAUAGUGUAAUGUAUGUAUAUAUACUAUAUAUAUAUAUAUACUAUAUAUCAAUAUAUAUAUAUUAUAUAUACAUUAAUAAUUAUUAUGUAUGUAGCUUUUACUUACAUCCUGUAUGUAUAUGUAUGUAAUUAUAUAUAUAUAUUAGUACUAGUAUGUUAUAUAUUGUAUAUGUAUAUAUGUAUAUAUACUAGUUAAAUGUAUAGAUAUAUUAUUAUGUAUAUUUAAUUAUAUUAGUGGUAUAGAUAUAUGUAUAUAUGUUAUAUAUUAGUAUACAAUAUGCUAUAUAAUAUGUAUAGCUAUUAUAUAUACUAUGUUUAUGUAAUAUAUAUAUGUAUAUAUGAUAUAAUAUUGUAUAUAUAUAUGUAAUAUAUGAUAAUAUAUAUAUAUAAUGUAAUGAUAUUAUAUGUUAUGUAUAGUAUAUGAUUGUAUAUAGAAAUCUUAUGUAUAUAUAAUAUUGUAUUAUCGUUAUAUAUAUAUUAUGUAUAUAUAGUAUGAUAUGAUAUGUAUGUUAUAUAUAGUACUAUAUGUUAUGUAUAUAAGUAUAUAUAUAUAAUUAUUAUAUAUUAUUAAUAAUAUAUAUAUAUAGAUUUAUACAUGUAUAUAUGUAUGUAUGUAGUAGAUAUAUGGAUUAUGUAAGUAUGUGUGUGUGUAUUAUAUUUUAUAUAGAGUAUUAUAAUAUUGUAUAUAAUUAUAGUAUAUGUAUGUGAUAUAUCAUAAUAUAUAUGUAUUAUAUAUAAAUAGAUAUAUAUAUUUUAUAUGUUAUGAAUAAUAUAUGUAAUAUUGUAUAUGUAUAUAGUAUAAUUAUAUAAUUAUUUUUUAUAUAAUUAUAUUGUAUGCUAUGACGUAAUAAGGUAGUGUAGUGUAUGUUUAAUAAGUUGACUUGAUGUAUGUAUGUGAUUGUAUAGGGUUUAUCAUAAUAUAUGUUUAUUAAUAUGUUGUAUGUAAUAAUGUAUAUCUAUGUUGAUCUUAUGUAGUAUAUUCUUUUCUAUAUAUAUAAUAAUAUAUGCACACAGUUAGCUAUCUUCUUAGUAGUAGGUAUCUGUAUAGCUAGAUUUUGAUGUGACUCACAUCUACCGAUAUAUAAUAUAUAACUAUGAAUAUUAAAGUAUAAAACUAUUAGAUAUUUAGUAUAUGUUAUGUAUGUAGUUAUGGAUUGAUAUAGUACUGUAUGUAAUAGUAGUAUUCGUGGUAGUGAAGUGACAAGCGGUCAUUAAAAGGUCCGCCGGACACUAUACGACUGCUUAAAGCUAUAGUCAGCCGACAAAUACAUUUAAAGAAUAUUGGCGCCAUCAAGCCCUGAUAAAGUCAUAUGAUUCGACUUCAUCGUUCAGAGGUAUGGAGAGCCGGUCUUCGAAUAAAAAUCUGACUCGGUUUUCGUAAUCCGACACGUGGUUCGUCUGAAGAAAGUCGUCGCCUGCUAGAUAUGGACGGUUGCAUGCUAGUUAAUUGUAUCUCCGCAGCCUACUAUAAUAACGCCGGGAGUGGGUAAUGCAUGUAGAGGCACUAAAAUGCCCUCUUGCCCGCUUUUCCAGGUGGUUUGUAACCUGGUGAAAAUGAUCAAAAGGGUAGAUUACUAAGAUGGCCGAAAACUUGGUACACCAAGUGCUUGUCGUGGCUAUGAAAUAGCAUAGUAGCCGUUUCUCGAUGAAUUGAAUUUUCGAAUCAACGAUCCGGUCCCUUCCGUUAGACCUGAUGCUAGGCGUAAGAUUUAGGUAAAAGCAUGUUCGAAAGCUUUCUAGAGACAAAUUUUAGAUUUAUUUGAUAUUCGAUUUACCUAUGUGAUCGAGAAGAUAUUCAAAAUCCAUAAUAUUUAAGUUCGAUGAUCCGUGCCGUUUUCAAUUUUAAUGUGUGUAAAGAAGUAUUCAAUAAGAUGAAAUGUUGACUGUAAAAUUUUUUAUAGACUAUCAAUACAUCUUUUGUCGAAUCAAAUUUGUCUAUCCUUAUAUAGAAUUUUUUUCCGUGUAAAAUUAUUGAUUUUAUAUUAUCGAUUGCUAGGUAAAUGAUAGUCUGAAAAAUCACAAAAAUUAUUUUCUAGAAACUCACAGGACCGCUAGAUCAACUAUUAACGGAGCCGAUCGUAUGAUUUCGAAACUCCAUCAUCGAUAAACGGCUCAGGCAGCACGGAGACCUCCGUGGUCGCUGAGAGCACAAGCACCCGCUCUAUAUAUAUAGUAUUAUAUAUAUAUAUAUAUAUAAUUUUAUAUAUAUAUUAAAUAUACCCUAUACCCUAUUAUAUUAUAAUUACAUAUAUAACUGUAGUAGGUUGAGCUAGAAUACUCUUAAAAGCACAAAGAGGGUGGUGCUUUUGAGUUUUUAGUCUUUGGAUGGAGAGAUGUAGGGUUGGGAUGAUGGUGGUAGGUAUGUGGAAUAGUGUUUGAUUCAAGAGAUAUUAGUAAGCAAGAAGUAGAUCCAAGGGCUAGAAAUCUAGAAGCACUAAGGGGUUGGUGCUUCUAAAAGUAUUCUAACUCAAUUAUAUAUAUAUAUAUAUAGAGUCCGGCUACUAUACUCUUAUGAGUACGAUCGCUUUCGUACUCAUAAGUUGUUUUUGAUGAUAGAGCUUUCGAAUCAACGAUCCAUACUGUUAAACAUUAUCUAGAACAUUUAAAACUUCUAAAAAUUAAAUUUUAUAAUUUUUCGAUAUUAUUUAUCUUAUGAUCAAAAGCUCACAAAAUUGACAAUUUUUAACGGCCGGUAUGAAAUAUUUGCUAGUUUAACGGUGAAAAAGAAUCGGAAUUUGUUAAAUUUUUGAUAGAAAAUUCUAUUCGCUACCUAGAUAAAGAUCAAUAACUCUGAUCUUGAAUUGAAGGAUCCGAUCAUCCAUUUUUAGGAUGUCGUUCGAUUUUGACCGUUCAUUUUAUACCCUCUUAAUGGGCUUUAUUAUGAUUUCGAAAAAUUACGAAAUUUAUUUUCUAGAAGUUUCAAAUACUUUAGAUCAUAUUUAAUGGUGUGGAUUGUCGAUUCAAAAUUUUCAACAUUGAAAAUAAUCUAUGAGUACGAAUGGCUCUAUACUCAUAAGAGUAUAGUAGCCCUACUCUAUAUAUACAAAAACAAAUUUUUUCAUGCAUAGCAUGCAUACUAGGAAAUAUUGCUACAGGCUUAUAUGAUUGACAAAACAACCCUUCAAGUAAAAGAAUUAAUAUAUAUUGUCAUAUAUUUGUAGAAUAUCUUUUCAAAAAUAUGAUACAUAUUGGAAGGUUAGGUACAAGGUUUAAAGUGUCGUCUUGUGCCGUACAGUACGAGGCGGCACAUACCAUACCACCUUUGGCACGAUACAGGGAGGUCUCGGACCCCCCUUCGUGCCGCAGCACCUAAUGCCAUGCCGUACGAGACAGAGCGAUACGGCGCAGCGUGCCACGACACAGUGCCGUGCUGGUACUGUGCUUUUUUAAUAAACUUUUUUUUUAUUUUUUAGGAUAUCCAAAAUAUUUUGGGUACUCCACGACCUCCCAAAGACAUUACAAAUCGAAAAUUUACUUAUUAGGUAAAUCAAAAAAAUUAUAGUUUAAUUUUUUUGUUUAUCAAUAUAUAGGCAAAAGAUUUGUCUGAACCCUCUACUUCUAUCACAGAUAUCUAUUUUUUCUUCACAAAUUAUUUUAUCAAAAUUUGUCGCAUCGCGAAAUUUUUGACGAAUUAAGAGAAUAAAAUCGAACUCAAUAAACAAAUUUUGAGUCACAUCAAACAAAAAAGUUUAUUUUGCGCUAAAAGAUUGAAAAUACUGAUAAAAAUUAAAGUUAAUUUAAAUCAAUUGAUACUUAAAUUUAUUUAAUUUAUUUGUCAUAUAAUUUAUUGCUUAAUUUUUUUAAUAAAUCUAUUAAUUCUUUUUAAAAAAUUAAUUUAAAAAUAAUUUUUUCAAAUAUUUUUUAAAAUAAUUUUUUUUAUAUUUUAUAAAAGAAAAACUGUAAUAUGGUCAAAAAAAAAAAGAUGUCUUUAUAUUUUAAAAAUUUUAAUUUAUAAAAAUUUCUAUUCUGCAUUAGAUAUAAUUGUACUUUACAUACAAAAAACUUACAAAUAUGUUAAUUAAUCAGUAUAGUAAGCUAUAUAUAGCAAAUAUUUAUAAUUAUUUGAUGAAAUAUUUUAAAAUAAUAUUAUAAGAGAUUAUUGGAAUCAAAAAAACUGAAAUAAAUCCGUAUCAAAAUAU